UGGCUCAGUCAGUAGAGCAUGUGACUCUUGAUCUUGAGGUUGUGGGUUCAAGCCCCAC
rnacentral:tRNA from 1 species